CAGUAUUUGGCUUUGUUACAUCAGUUAAACAUCGAGAAGAUUGAGGUGGUUUUUAUUACAAACCAAAGCGGUUACUAGCUUACAAAUAUAUAAGACAUGUGACUUUAUUUCAGGAAGGAGUCAUCAUUUUAGUCAUCUUCCAUGUUUUGGUAUUAAUUUGGAGUAUGUUUUCAUUAAAGGAUUAAAAGAACAUUUAUGAACAUUUGUCUCAUCAUAAUUUGUGUUUUGAACUUGUGAAAGUGCAAUUGUGAAAACAGUAAACUUAUGUUCCAUCUCAAUCUUCUCUUGUUUAAGUGAACUUUCGGUGUUUGUUGAAAGUUUGGAAAGUUUGUCUGAAAAUCACAAUCUUUCAUUAAAUGUUGAUGCUCGAUGUUUUCAAAUAUUGAAUCCUACAAAAAGCGAUUAGUGAUCAAUUGAAGUAUACAAUACUUUUAAAAUUAGCACUGUUAGAACUGCCUUGUUGUUUAAUUGUCCUGUCUUAUUUAUCCCAGCAGACUCUUAAUACAUGAGUUUGAUUAUUCCUGGACACAAAUAAAAUGGAUUUGUUGAGGAACAAAGCAGUUUUAUACAGUACUGACUUAUAGGAGGG